CCUCAGUCAGAUCGCACUGACACACAGGAGGAGAAGCUAGCAGCUCCAGAGCCAAAUAAGGGCUGACCUCCGCAAGGAAAUCACAUUUGCAGAUGAGUCACUAUUGCAAAAGAAGCAGCCAAGAGAGCGGAAGAUGCAUCCUUCUAAGCCCAGGCCUAUUUGACCUCAAAACCUAUUUUCAACUGCAGUCAACAGAAUCAAGCAAAAUGUAAACUGUAACAAGCAAGAAUAGAGGUGAAAUACAAGUCAUUAAGAAAAUCAGAGAAGCUAAGUCUGGGAGAAUACCCUGGAUACCUCUACCUCUGCAGUCAUUCUGAACUUCAUUAAGCAAGAGCUUUAUCUCAAAUCAAAUGUGUUUCAAAAUCUGAGCAUCAUCUCAUCAGUCAUCUAGAGGCAAAGGUGCUUAAAUAAGAAAAGGAGCAAGUUCUGUAUUUUUAAUGCACUCUGACAACACAUUUUCAUGUCCCACUGCCUUUUUUCAGGUAUGCAUUUUUAUAGAUAAAUGUUAAUUUCUUCCUUAAUUUCAAGCCUGGAUAAUUUAUCAUUGAAUGAAGGACUCACUGCCAGGUUCACACACGUGGAAGUCAAGAGGGCUCCAUUUCUGGCCACGUGGGCUCACCACAGGCUGCAGGAUGUCCUCCCCACGUGGCAGCUGGUCUCAAGCAAUGUCUCAAGAGAGAGCGCCUAGAACAGGACCCCAGCCUUUCGGUAACCCAAUCUCAAAUGCAGCAUCCAACACUUCUGACAGAGGCUACUCGCUGGACAUGAGCCACACAACAGGGCAAGGUGGGGAGAGAAGAAGGAAUUAAACUCUCAAGGGGUUGAGUACCCUAAAGCCAUAAUACCACCAGCAAUACUGCGGCGCUAUUGUUAACGUUGAGAUGUGACAAUGGGGUUAUGUAUUACGUAGGGAAUGUCUAUGUAUGUCAGAAACAAUACACAGGAUGUCUGCAACCUACUUGAAAGUGAUUCUGCAGUUAGGUGAGUGAGAGAGAGAAAGAAAGAGAGAGAGAGUGUAAUACAAAAUCAAAUAGCAAAGGGCUAACAACUUGCCAUCUAGGUGGAUAACAGAUAGGUGUUUGUUGUGUUCCUUUGCCUUUCUAUAUAUUUGAGUAUUUUUAUAAAAAGUGUUGGAGGAAAAUAAUUUAGAAUCACUAUGGACUGAAUUGCGUCCCCUAAAAUUAUUUGUUGCUGCCCUAAUGCCCAGUGAGAUGGUAUUUGGAGAGGGGACCUUGGAUGGUAAUGAAGGUUAGAUUAGGUCAUGAGGCUGGGGUCCCCACCGUGCAAUUAGUUCCCUUAUAAGAACAACACCAGAGAGCUCACUUUUUCUGCCUCGUGAGGACACACCAAGAAGGUGACCGUCUGCCAGCCAGGAAGAGGGCUCUCGAAGGAGCCUUGACCUUGGUUGGGCUUCUCAGUCUUCUAGAUGAUGAGAAAAAAAAGCCUGUUGUGCAAGUCCCCAAGUCUGUUUGUUAUGGCAGCCCCAGAAAACUAAGUCAAGGGUGUUGAAAUGAGUGCAGAUAUUGGAUAAUAAUAAAACUUUUGCUCUU